UGCCUUUUUUGAAUGCAGCAGGCUAUCAUCUAGCCACGUUUGAAGAAAGCGCAGGAGGCGAGUGCCCCUCUUCUUCCACAUUACUCAUCUAAGAUCAGUGCAGAAUCUUAGAGAAUAACCACUGUGCAUCUGGAACCUAAAUUUAUGUCUGCAUUGGACCUUUACACCACAACCUACUGGCACUAUUUUGUGCCAAAGGUGGAGCAUUUGGACAAAAACUGAAGAUCAUAAUGGAACUGCUGGAGGUACAAUACUUGUCAAGACUAGAGAGGUUGUCCUUCAGUGCCUUAUACAAUACCUUGCAGAACAUGAGGAACAUCUCGUCAAAGAAUUCAACAGGCCCUUUAUUAAAAAUGUAUCAUCUAGUGAUGUGAUAUGCUACUAUAUGCUAUAUGACACUGAUGACAAGCAGGCCACUGAGAACUUGGAGGAACUUGAACAGCUCGUAGUGGCAAUUACUGUGAUCAUGAAGGCCGGGGCUUCUGCAAGUGACAGCCUAAAGGACAUUGGAACUGUUAUUGAGGGAGUGGAAGUCAUCACAGGACUUGAAGGUAUUGUCAGGGCUUGCUCUCCACUCCUUGGCUUGACCUACACAAUGAAUACUGAUUAUCCCAGGAAGCUGAAGUAUACCUUUGAGGUAUACCAAAAACUUUUUUUGGAACUGGAUGCUUCAAAGCUGUCAAACAAAGUCCAGUCCCUCAAGAGCAAACGUCUGGCUUGAAAUGAGACUGUGGUCGCAGUGCACACUUUUGUGCUACACAAUGUUCAGCUUCUACUUUGCUUGAGAAUUGCACAUUUGAAAGUGCCAAGUUUGUAAGUUAGUACUGUUUUUGACUCUAUCCCACGAAUGUAAGUGAAAUUUCAAUUGUGGUCAGUUCAAAGUAAAAAUGCUUUACUAUGUACAAAUUGCACUUUUAUAUGUUUUAUGUUGUGGUACAUACACUUCUGGAGGAUUGUUCUUCAAGAUCGUUAUUGAUCUAAUUGAGAAAGUAUGCAAACAAAUAUGUGUAUGGACAGAUCGUGUAAUAUGGCAGUUUUAUUCAUUUUUGUUUUUACAAGAAUUUUGUUUGUGGUCAGGUUGGUUU